rnacentral:rRNA from 1 species
AGUCGAGCGGACUGAAUGAGAGCUUGCUUUCAUUUGGUUAGCGGCGGACGGGUGAGUAACACGUGGGCAACCUGCCCGUAAGACCGGGAUAACUUCGGGAAACCGGAGCUAAUACCGGAUAACACCGAAUAUCGCAUGAUCUUUGGUUGAAAGGCGGCUUUGGCUGUCACUUACGGAUGGGCCCGCGGCGCAUUAGCUAGUUGGUGAGGUAACGGCUCACCAAGGCGACUAUGCGUACCCCACCUGAGAGGGUGAUCGGCCACACUGGGACUGAGACACGGCCCACACUCCUACGGGAGGCAGCAGUAGGGAAUCUUCCGCAAUGGACGAAAGUCUGACGGAGCAACGCCGCGUGAGCGAAGAAGGUCUUCGGAUUGUAAAGCUCUUUUGUUAGGGAAGAACAAGUACCGUUCGAAGAGGGCGGUACCGUGACGGUCCCUAACGAGAAAGCCACGGCUAACUACGUGCCAGC